rnacentral:rRNA from 1 species
GCAGUCGACGGCAGCACGGACUUCGGUCUGGUGGCGAGUGGCGAACGGGUGAGUAAUAUAUCGGAACGUGCCCAGUCGUGGGGGAUAACGUAGUGAAAAUUACGCUAAUACCGCAUACGAUCUAAGGAUGAAAGCGGGGGAUCGCAAGACCUCGCGCGAUUGGAGCGGCCGAUAUCAGAUUAGGUAGUUGGUGAGGUAAAGGCUCACCAAGCCAACGAUCUGUAGCUGGUCUGAGAGGACGACCAGCCACACUGGAACUGAGACACGGUCCAGACUCCUACGGGAGGCAGCAGUGGGGAAUUUUGGACAAUGGACGCAAGUCUGAUCCAGCCAUUCCGCGUGCAGGACGAAGGCCUUCGGGUUGUAAACUGCUUUUGUACAGAACGAAAAGGUCUCUAUUAAUACUAGGGGCUCAUGACGGUACUGUAAGAAUAAGCACCGGCUAACUACGUGCCAGCAGCCGCGGUAAUACGUAGGGUGCAAGCGUUAAUCGGAAUUACUGGGCGUAAAGCGUGCGCAGGCGGUUAUAUAAGACAGAUGUGAAAUCCCCGGGCUCAACCUGGGAACUGCAUUUGUGACUGUAUAGCUGGAGUGCGGCAGAGGGGGGUGGAAUUCCGCGUGUAGCAGUGAAAUGCGUAGAUAUGCGGAGGAACACCGAUGGCGAAGGCAAUCCCCUGGGCCUGCACUGACGCUCAUGCACGAAAGCGUGGGGAGCAACAGGAUAGAUACCUGGUAGUCACGCCCUAACGAUGUCACUGGUUUGUGGUC